UACGUAGGGGGCUAGCGUUGUCCGGAUUUAUUGGGCGUAAAGAGCGUGUAGGCGGCCUUGCAAGUCGGUUGGUGAAAGCCCGGGGCUCAACCCCGGAGGUGCGGCCGAGACUGCAGGCUGGAGGCCGGAAGAGGAGGGUGGAAUACCCAGUGUAGAGGUGAAAUUCGUAGAUAUUGGGUGGAACACCGGUGGCGAAAGCGGCUCUCUGGUCCGGACCUGACGCUGAGGCGCGAAAGCGUGGGGAGCAAACAGG
rnacentral:rRNA from 1 species